GUGGUGGUCAUCUCCUGUGUGCUGGGAGGAGUUCUUCUCAUCCUUGUGCUGGCUUUGCUCAUAUACUGCUGCUGGAGAGGAUGCUCAAUGAGCAAGCCAGACUACAACAGCAGUCCAUACUCAUCAGGUGACGUAAACCAGCCCUGGCCCACUGGCGUCACCUCCAUCCCCCGGGCCACCACUAACUGGGAUGCAGCUCCUCCCAUAGAAAUGACAGAUGGGGGCAGCACUCGUGUCCUGGUGGACAAAAAGCAUGAAACCAACGGAUUGGGGUUUCAUCCGAAGCAGAUAGGAUGGAAAAGGUCGGGAUCAUACGAUGUCAACCCAGAGGGGAUGAACACCUUCAAAGGUAAAAAUCCAUCCCGUUACUCCUAUCUGGUUCAAGGACACGAGAACCCCUACUUCUUAGCAGGAGAAGGCAAGAAAAACUGAUGGGAUCAACCAGAAGCCACUGGUUUUAAACUCUGGGUCUACAGGCUCAUCUCCUGAGCAGGACCCGGUUAUUUAUACUUUCUUGAAUUUGCUUUGAUUAAGGACAUUUUCUAACUGGGAAACAGCCACCAAAGGUUUUCAUUCAUACGAGCAAGAACAUUUGAACAACUUCUUUUUGCGUGUUCUUCGGGAGAGCUAAAUGUUGCUGAUCAUGACCAGUAGAUGUCGCUGUUGCUCAGUGUCAUUCUCCUACUGUUUUAGAAGGUACGUUACAUUUUUCUUAUGCUUUUUAUUAAGAAAUCCUCCUGUAGUCUUUUUAAAUGAAGCUUCUUAUAUUUCUUAUUGCACUAAAGUGUCUGUUAAGUUUACUCUGAAAUCUAAGGUGAAUGUGGGCUUUUAGAUAUUUUUAUGAGGGGUAUGAUGGUUUUUUUAGAAAAGUAAAUUUUGUACGACUAAAGGGGCUGGAUCCCUUGUUCGGGGUGUUUUUAAAGGGAUUUAACUUUAGCUGUCUAAAGCUGAAUAUUCUCUGUAUUUGUUGAAGCUGCACUUGCUAAAUGUGCCUGUUUUUAAUCGUCUGUUUGACAAACAGGAACCUGUCUCCUAGAUGUGCCAAUUAUCAGUUGUAUACAUUUAUAUAUAUUUAUCCUUGUGUGUCUGAGACAGUGCACUCUUUUAUAAGUGUGUAACGGUUUUGUAAAUAAUUGAAGAUCUUUUGUCACAGAAUGUGUAUGUGCGGCGUGUGUGCAAUGGAAAUAAAUUAAUUUAAACACAACAGUUUUAUUUCUCAUCAUUGGUGG
rnacentral:lncRNA from 1 species